rnacentral:rRNA from 1 species
UACAGAGGGUGCGAGCGUUGUUCGGAAUUAUUGGGCGUAAAGCGCGUGUAGGCGGGAUCGUGGGUCGGAUGUGAAAGCCCUCGGCUCAACCGAGGAAGUGCGUUCGAAACUGCGGUUCUUGAGUGUCGGAGAGGGUGGCGGAAUUCCCGGUGUAGAGGUGAAAUUCGUAGAUAUCGGGAGGAACACCAGUGGCGAAGGCGGCCACCUGGACGAACACUGACGCUGAGACUCGAAAGCGUGGGGAGCAAACAGG